UGGGGAAUUUUGGACAAUGGGCGAAAGCCUGAUCCAGCAAUGCCGCGUGUGUGAAGAAGGCCUUCGGGUUGUAAAGCACUUUUGUCCGGAAAGAAAUCCUUGGCUCUAAUACAGUCGGGGGAUGACGGUACCGGAAGAAUAAGCACCGGCUAACUACGUGCCAGCAGCCGCGGUAAUACGUAGGGUGCAAGCGUUAAUCGGAAUUACUGGGCGUAAAGCGUGCGCAGGCGGUUUGCUAAGACCGAUGUGAAAUCCCCGGGCUCAACCUGGGAACUGCAUUGGUGACUGGCAGGCUAGAGUAUGGCAGAGGGGGGUAGAAUUCCACGUGUAGCAGUGAAAUGCGUAGAGAUGUGGAGGAAUACCGAUGGCGAAGGCAGCCCCCUGGGCCAAUACUGACGCUCAUGCACGAAAGCGUGGGGAGCAAACAGGAUUAGAUACCCUGGUAGUCCACGCCCUAAACGAUGUCAACUAGUUGUUGGGGAUUCAUUUCCUUAGUAACGUAGCUAACGCGUGAAGUUGACCGCCUGGGGAGUACGGUCGCAAGAUUAAAACUCAAAUGAAUUGACGAGGUCAUAGCUGUUUCCU
rnacentral:rRNA from 1 species